CGGACCCUUAAGGUCAGAGGAGCCAUCACAGCGAACCCAAAGAAAAAGAUGCAGCAAAUGCCCCUUCAUGUUGGCAUCUGGAAGAUGCCAAGCAAGAGUGGGCAGGGAGCGCGGGCACAGGCCUCCAGGACUGCGGCUCUGGUGGAGGAGGAAGGAGGACCUCUGCAGAGCUUGGGCGGAUCACCCAGGGAGGAGGGCCUGGAGCCAGAUCCAGACCAGGGCAGGGGUUAGCCUGAGGGAGGGCUGAGGCUCCCUGGUCCUUCUGCCACCGUCCUCAAGGUCCUCUCCCCUGGCAGAGCUCUGAGCUGUGACCGAACUGGGCCCACCACGUGCAAUGGCACGGCUGCUGGAAUUCCAGAGGGAUGGUCAGACGGAGGUCGCAGGAACCACGGUCCCCAAACAGGCUGCCCCUGAAGCCAGCAGCCUCCUUGGGUAUUUAAUAACAGCCAGUUGCCCUGUGAAUGCCCAUCCCGGCUCUGCCCAGCCUCACACCAAGGAGGGAGACAUCCCUUACAGCCCCUGCUUAAUUAAAUCAAUAAACCAUCAAUGCAAA